GAGGGGGGUUAAACCAGCAAGGACUGCUAACCCCUGUAUCUGAGUCUAAAACCUCAGCCCCCUUA
rnacentral:tRNA from 1 species